rnacentral:misc_RNA from 1 species
AAAUUUAAAUUUCUCUUUAUUUAUAAGAGUGAAACUUAUAUAUUUAUAGAGAGAGCAUGAGCUCCAAAAUCACGUUCGAUUAUCCAUGAGGGAUUAUAUUAAUUUUUUUUUUAUUUCCCAUGUCUUAAUUAACACUAUAUAUAUAGAUAUAUAAGGACAUAAAGAACUCAUACACAACAAUUAAACAAAGCAGAAGAUGGUCGAGUACUAGAAGAAGAAAUUGUUAAGGUGGGAUUGAGCAUCGGAGUCUUCAAGAUCAUGUGAUGGAGAAUGUACAUGUCUCCCUUCAUAGGUUGUUAUCACCAUU